rnacentral:rRNA from 1 species
AGGACGAACGCUGGCGGCGUGCCUAACACAUGCAAGUCGAACGCGCUCCAUUCGGUAGCAAUACUGAUGAAGAGCGAGUGGCGAACGGGUGAGUAGCACGUGAGCAACCUGCCCCGAAGACUGGGACAACACCGGGAAACCGGUGCUAAUACCGGAUAUCCCUAUCGGACCGCAUGAUCUGAUAAGGAAAUGGAUUCCGCUUCGGGAGGGGCUCGCGGCCUAUCAGCUAGUUGGUGGGGUAAUGGCCCACCAAGGCAUCGACGGGUAGCUGGUCUGAGAGGACGAUCAGCCACACUGGGACUGAGACACGGCCCAGACUCCUACGGGAGGCAGCAGUGGGGAAUCUUGCGCAAUGGGCGAAAGCCUGACGCAGCAACGCCGCGUGGAGGACGAAGGCUUUCUGAGUUGUAAACUCCUUUCAGCAGGGACGAUAGUGACGGUACCUGCAGAAGAAGCACCGGCCAACUACGUGCCAGCAGCCGUA